UCCCAAAGUGCUGGGAUUACAGGCUUGAGCCACCGCGCCCAGUGUAUUUUUAUAUUUUUAACAUAUCUCUUCAAAUUUUACUGAAACUCUUCAUUUAGAUAGCUUUUAAAUGAAAAUUCUGCUUCCAAGUGUUUCUAAGAAUGCAGAUAUGGACAUUUGUAUGUGAUAAUACUUUUUAAGAAACAAUUACAUAAAAUGGAAACACAAUAAAACAUUAUUUUUCAAAAUUUUUCAUAGUAGGCUUCUUGUGAAAUUACAUAGGUUUUUCUCACUCACUGUUUUAAAGUGUCCUUUUACCUUGAAAAGACAGUUUAAAUUGUGAGUCUUUUUUCAUUUUUCCCCCAAAAUAUCUUCUAGGUCAUUAGAAUCAGCUACUUGUCGUCAGGGGGGAAAAAAAAGAUCAGCAACUUUGAGAUGUGUGUUUUCAUAAAAUAAAAAUAUCAUGAGAUAACCUGGGUGUAAUAUAAAGAUUUUCAUGGGUACAAUUCUCCUUCCCACUGUCAUCACCCCCUCUCCCACAGUCUUAUAACAUUUUGCAAAAGUGGAACUAUUUAGGACGAGGUUUGGCAAAUGUUUUCUGUAAUGGGUUUGAUAGUUAAUCUUUUAGGUUUUGUGGGACAUAUGGUCUCUGUCACAACUACUAAACUCCUAAACUCUGCCAUUGUCUGAAAGCAGCCAUAGACAAUAUGCAAAAGAAUGAGUACACUGUGCUCCAGUAAAACUUCAUUUGCGAAGAUAGGCAGCAGGCCAGAUUUGGCUCAGGGAACAUAGUUUGCCAACCCCUAAUUUAAAUUAUAUAAUCCUAAACCCACUCAACCAAAAGCAAACAAAAUGCAAUAUGUUACAACACCCUGAAAGGGAAAAAAAGGGUAGAUACCUCCCUCUGCUCCAGGAACCUCUUAUUCUUUCUAGAGGGUACUAUGCCUACUGUACAUGAUAUGUGCUCAUUCAACAGACAGCCCUAAUGAGAGUGUUAAAAUAUGAGGAAACAGCAUUUUUUUUCCUUCAUUUUUUAAAGAUAAAAAUAAAUAGAUGUUAUAAUAUUUGUGUCUUUCAAUUGUUCAUUAUAUGUACCCCACUUUCAAAAUACAGGCUUAAAGCUACUGCACAUCUUCCUGCAAAAGCAGGUCAUUGAGGUAAAAAUGGUAAAGGUACACAGGACCUUUACUCUCUUCUUCCAACUUUCAGAUGUGAGGCACCAAUGUGAUCGUUUGGUGCCUUCAAGGAUGAAGUUCAAGUGUUUCAGAGAUGAACUGAUGGAUGAAGAAACAGAACAGGGCUUGUGGCUCUUGGACAAACUUUUUAAUCACCAGACGAGGUCUAUCUAGACAUGGUCUGGAAACCAGAUGUGUCAAACACUGAAUAAAUAAUGUUACCUUAGUGAAUGACUGCAGAGACCACAGCAAGGUGCAGAAAAUUUGGUACCCAUUCUUAAGGAAUAAGGUUAACGUAAGUUUAACUUAAGACGAACUAAGACAGACAUAUAAAAAUAUAGUCUGUCUGCCAAAGUGUCACUGUGCAUCACAGACCCACUCCCAAGUGAAGGAGGGAGGAAGUCACUCUGACUGAGCAGAAUGGUGUAUUUCACCAUCUCUAGGAGAUGUGUUACCUGAGAAGAUAUAUGAUAAGGCACCAGAUUUUUUAAAUUGUGUUCUUUCACAGAUAGCCACAGUGGCAAUAAUUUAGUUGAUUUGAUCAAGACAGUCUGCCAGUCUAGAAAAUUCUGGUAAAACAUGAUCUACUUGAUGUAAAAUGAUGUGGUUUGUUUAGACUUACUGAACUGGAAAAUGCCAAAUUUCUUUUUCCUUGGCACCACAUGAGUAUUGUCUGCAAUACCAAGUGCAGAAUCCCAGAUCAAAUCAAGACAUCACCGAGCUGAUGGUGCAGUGUGCUUAAGCAGCCAUGGCUUCCCCUGAAGACAAAGGUUAACUCUAUCUUCUCUAUUUCAUAAGUUUGAGCUGGAGUCAGUUUAUAUGUGUCAAGUAUUUGUAAAUCUGGACAUUAUUUGUCAAUUAAGGUUCCUCUGAUCACAUUAAGUUUUGUGGGCCCUUGUAGACUCCCACCCCGACCCCCUCUGGAAAUUCCUGCUCGAUCAACAUAUUCUGUUCUCUUUGGGACAGAGAAAUGGACCAUACAGUUUGAAACAAAAUGAAUAGAAAUGUGAGUAGAAUGUGAAAGCAGGAAAUUAAUGUUACUUUUCAAGUAGCAAAGGACUCUGCCUAGAGAAAGCUUGAAUUCUAGUCUCAGCUUUUCUUAGAGCUUUGACCAUAUCACUUAACCUCUUUAAGUCUCAGUUUCCUCAUCUUUAAAAGAGUGGGGCAGAUCUUUACUGUCCUUUCCAACUCAAUUUCUCUUACAAGAAAUUGUAAAGCUGUAGCUUAAAUCAUUAAUAGUAAAGACUUUGACCUUAGAGACAUAAUAAACUUCAUAGGGAAUGUCAUCUGAUUCCAACUGAGUGACUCUAAAGAGGGAUGUCAAAAAUAGAAGGUGGAAAAUACAAGUCAAAAUUCAAGAUUAUUCACAAUUGUCACACAGAUCUCCACAGGACUCUCAAGGCAUAUUUGCUGCCUGUAUUAGAGCAGUCCCUCCUUGGGAUGGAGCUACUGUCAGAGUCUUGAGUUCUAGAAUUCUUUCUGAAUUAUUCUUUCACUCUCUCAGGUUUUUCUCUCUCCACCUCUGCUAUCUAGUGCCCACAUGACACCACUUCCCCUCCCUCCCACAAGAAUACUAGAGGGUAUGUGUUGUUAAGAGCCACAAAAACAAAAGCCUACCCUGAAACCUGAUCAUGAGGACAAGGGACCCUGGUGUGGAGCUAGCCCAGCCUUCUCUAGUGACCCACUUUUUGGUAACUUCCUCUGCUACGACCAGGUUCUGUCAGCACACAUAACAGGCCUGCGUUUGGAAAGGCCUGCACUUGGCAAGACCUCUUGCAAUAUUGACUCUGGCUUUCUCCCCUGGGGCUUGUGCCGCAGUGGAAGACCAAUGGCCAACAAGCUGGCGUCCAGAAAUACCUUUCAUCUGUACCCUACUUCACAGAGUGGGUAGACUCUGCCACCAACUGACAACAUUCAUUUCUUGAAUGGAGUGUUCAAAGAUUCUGCCAACAAGAUGAUGAGCAGUUUCUGUCCUCUUUUCCGCUUCUUGGUCAGGUUGUGCCCCCUGACUCAGCUCCACAUGCAGCUGCUCUCUGGGGUGUUACCAUGGCUUUUUGAAAUGAACCAUUUCUCCUUUCUGCAACCCCACUGGGACUCAAACUAUAGGACACGCUGCCAAUUCUCCAAGCUCUGCCCCUGUGCGAAUUCUCACAUCCAGCUUGUAGUUGAUGGAAAUUUUUACAAGUGACUUAAUUUCUCACAAUUCCACUAGAUACAUAUUUAAUACAUUUUUAAAAUAGGUACUGAAUGUCAUUUCCAUGGCUCUUUCAGAUUAUUGAUGGGAAAUUUUCAAAUAAAACUUGUGUGUGCUUAAGUGCUUUGUUUAACAGGAGACAGAUUUUAUUUCCACAAGAAGCAGAGAUUAUAAGUAUUAUUAGGUAUCCUUCCCUGGCACAGCAUUGUAGGAAACAAUAGCGAUUGUGCUCAAAAUACAGCAAAAAAAAUUUUGAUUUCCAUUGUGUUUCUUAAAAUUUUACUGGUAGCUAAAGGCUCUUAUCAAUCUGUAAUUAUAAAUGGUCCAGAAUAUAAAUUAGCUGUGAGAACUGAGAAAAACAUUUCUGCUGGAGCAAGUUCAUUCUUAGAAGCCAAGACCUACCCCACCUUAGAAGAAGAAAAAUUAUGUACGUGUUGGAAAGUUUUUCAGAAAAAAAUCAUCUUUUUUCAAUUCUCUGUCUGAACAUUGGUCAAGUUAGUUAUUCAAAUCUUUCAAUGGAUCAGAAAUGAGUGCACUAUCUUCCAAAGAGGAUAUCUCUCCUGAGAGAAAAUGCCUUUUCUGCAAUGUUUCCUAAGCUCAAUCUUACAAAGACCAUACUCAAGCAUAGGCUGAGAAAUGCCCAUACACUGGGCCAGCCAAGAAGAUAACUACACAACUGACUUUAGGAGCUUUUCCCCUUUUAACAUUUAAAAUUUAUUCCAGCUGAAACUGUGAUGUGUAAGUACACAUGGAAAGAACUUUGGAUAAAAUAUAUCUGUAAUUAUUUAUACUGCAAUGCUUUAUUUUGCAUAACUUCUGUUUAUUUAAAUAGCUAAUGUAUGCACAAGUAAAAACAAUGUGAAAGUUACAGAAGGACAUAUAGAGGUUAUAAGUAUUGUUCAAUGUCCUUCUAAUUCUAAUUCUCCUCUAACCCCUGCUGAGGCAAAAACUGUUAUCAGUUUUUUUUAAUAUAUCCUCCCAAAGAUUAUAGCAUAUGAAACAAAACACAUAGUUCUUGCACCUUGCUGUUUUUCAUUUAACAAUUUAUCUUGGACCCCAACCUCAUUGUUUAAUGGCCGAAAAGUGUUCUCUCAUAUGAAUGUUCCAUAAUUUACUUAACCAACCCCCGACUUGCAUAUGUACCAUUCUUUCUAUAGAUUUAAUUCCUAGAAGUGGGAUUGUUGGAUCAAAAUGCAUUUUGAUUUCGGAUAGAUACUGCAGUGUUGCGCACCUUAGAUAUUGAACCAAUUUACCAGCAUUCCCUGAAUACGUCUGCCCACCAAAAAGAAAGAAGAAAAAAAAUAGUAUGAGAGCACAAUGGUCUCCUAAUCAGUCUCUUUGUUCUAUUUGACUUUAUAUCCUUAUGGAUUUAAUUUAAAAAUAUAAAAGUAAAUGUAACAAUGUGAUGCAAUUAGCAUAAUAUUAUCAUUCAGAUCUCAACUCAAAUGCUACUCCCUCAGCAAAGCUUCCCCGACCACCUCAACACUCACAUCCCCAGUCACUCUCUAGGCCAUUAUCCUUUGCGCUAUCUUAAUAUUGCUUGUCACUAUCAGCAGUUACUUUGCUUCUUUGUUGAUUUGCUUAUUUUUUCCCCCUACCAGCCACUCACCACUAGAAGUCUUGGGAAAGCAGGAAGCAUUCAUAUUGUUUGCCCAGCAUUUUGAACAGUACCCUGGCACUGAUCAACACUCAAUAAAUGUGUGUUGAAUGAAACCCUGGGUCCAAAGAUAAUGUUGGUGCCAAAACAUGUGAGUUUGCUGUGGAAUGAGUUUCCAGAGCCCUCCAAGAAAGACACAAGCUUCAGGCUCAGAAGAGUUUCUAAUGCAUUCUGAGUAUAUGCUACAGACUUUGGGGGAGGAAAAAGAGGUUCCCAUCAAUUUCAAGGAAAACAAAUGGUGCUGGUAGAAACUAUCCAGUCUUUUGAUUAGGACCUGAAGAAAAAUAAACUGCAUUAUUCUUGGUUCUGAGCAAACUAUGGGUCAAAAUGAAAUAUACAUUAAUAUUUGUAAAGUGGUUUGAAGAACAACAUUUUAAAAUGAAAAAGCAGAGGUCUUCGACUUUUAGUCUAUGAAGCACUGUUUUGAGGAAGUUUUGUCAGGCAGUAUCUGCAGCAGAGUGAUUCACAGAAUACAGGUAGUAAUAAAUGAGUGUUUGUCGAAGGGGUGUUUCUAAAUCCUGGAAAGGUUAUUCAGCUGGGUCCUGGGUGUGGCUGACAGGUUUAGCUAGGCCUAAUUAAUUGGAUUCAGCCCUGUGGGAAACUUUAGUAAUGACUGUUGGUAUAAACAUUUCACACCACCCAUUCACUGGCUUGGCACCAGGAAGACAUGAAAAUGUCAUUUGAGCUUUCUAGACGUUAUAUAUCCUGAAAGAUAGAGGAGACAUCUGAAUUUUCCCACUGGAAAAUAUUUCUCAGUUUUGAUUAAUUAAAUACCUGAAGCGGGUUCCUCUAAAUUGCUGAAAAAUGUGAAUUUCUCAGAAUAGUGAGAGAAUCUGCUGCUCAGUUUCUUAUGUAAAAAUUGCAUCUAGGCUUUUAGGCAUCAGCGCCAUGCCAAGCAGGGGCUUUGGGACUUUAGGCCAACUUUAUUACCAUUGGGUCACCUCCCCCAAUUCUUUAUAUGAACAACUGGUGUUUUCUUAAGCUUAUAUGAAGUGCUACAAAAGCAUGGUUUCAAGGUCCAGCUGGCACCCACUUCCAGCUGAAUUGCUGUUCCUAAUCAUCCCUAUAGAGAAGACACUCCUGGGCAUGGUCAUCCAGACUCGAAGUCAAAGGAGGAAGCAGCCAUUCCUGCGCUGUCUUAAGGACAGCCUCAUUUGUCAGGUUCUUCUUCUGAGGUUCUUCUGCUGGUCAGAUGUACCACCUCCAGGAAAUUUAUUCUUAGUAGCCUUUCAUAGAGUUUUCUGCUGUAAUCUCAGUGAGCCCAGCCAUCUAAGUGAACUUCUGACUUUGUGGAAGAAUGUGGCGGGACUGGGUGAUCCUGUGUGGGACAAACCAGCAGCACUUGCUUUAGGAGAACUUCUCCAAGUCUGCCAAGUGGUUUCUUCUCAGGCUCAGGCUCUACAAGUAGAAACUUCCAAAUAUUAAUAUUUAACACUUAGCAAAAGGGCCUGAUUGUCACACAGGACCCUCACUCUAAGGGCUGUACCAAGUUCUGACCCCUCUAGACCUGGGCACUUGAGCAGCUACCCUCUCCAAAGCUGGGAAGAAAAGAUAAUGUAGAAUUGGGAGUGACCAGAGGCAUUUAGGAUUUCUUUGAAUCACCUGAUUUCUAAGAUAUAAGAACCAAAGUUGAUCCAAAGGGUUAAUACUUCUUCACAUAGUAUAUUUUCCCUAGCCCUUUUGUAAAAUACCCUUCACAGAAAAAUGAGCUACACAUUUGGAUUUAAGAAAUGUACAAGACUCUGAAAAGAGGAAAUGCUAGAAUUCUGCCCUACGGAAGAUUCCCCAGUACAUUUCCAUACAAGUUAUCAAAUAUCUAUCUGCCUGCCUUAGAUUUUCUAUCCAGGAAAUAAGGAUUUUCCUUCAACUAAAGUUUCCUGAAGAAAAAGGUAGAGAGAAACAGAUACUUCCUAGCAUGUGAAAUGGGGAGCACUGUUAGAUUCCCACUCACACGAACCACCAAGAUAUUUCUGAAACGAAAUCCCAUCGAACUGAGUUGCCCCUUACAAAUGCUCAUUUUGCCAAGCCUGGCUUAGUCCUCACAUUGUCUGCCCUUCAAAUGAAUAUCUCAUAUCUGUGGAUCAACUCUGUUGAUCAAUCUAUGGAUCAACUCAGUUUUGCAGGGCUGAGGGCACAAUGGUGAGGAUAGAGCUUUCUCUGUAGUUUCUAAACCUUCUACAUGCCUGUUCAGUCCAGGACCUGUGGACAGCCAGCGUGGCUACAGCUAUAGCCUAAUCGUGAGGCAAAACUGUAUUUAAAAACCCAGUGUGGGGUAUCAAGUCAGGAGAUCUGAGAUUUUGUCCCAGCUGAGGGAGUGUGAACAAAUCAUCUGACCUCUAUAUAUUUGUACUUUGUGGCAUAGAGGCCAUUCUAUGAAUGGCUAUAAAUAGGUUUGUGACUGAGGGUCUCCGAAGAAAUCACAGACGAUCAGAUCAAGAGACCCUCAGUCACAAGCCUAUUUAAAUGCCCUUUCUCACUGAGGUGGGUAAGAGGAGUGCAGGGUUCACAGGGGCACCAGCCAGCCAAGGCCUAGCUGUUAUCCCCAGUGGCUAAGAGAAUGUAGUCAAGGUUCAUUCAUCACUCAUCUAGUACUUAUCGAGUCCCUACUGACCUGAGCCAGGCACGAGUCUAGGCACUGGGGAUAGAGCAGCCAAGAAAACAUCAUCAUUUCCUGCCUUCAUGAAGCUUCAUUUGCAUAUGGCAUGAGAGGCUGGCCCACAGUCAUUCCAAUACAGAGCUGGAGCCUUUAGAGAGCUAAGGUGCUAGCACUCACCCAGUGCUGCAUUUUUCAUAUGUAUAUUAAUGUGUUCUCCCUGUCAAGCUUGCAAGAUAUCCCGAGAGUGUAAGUUGUCCAGAGGCAGCAGAGCCACCCAGGGUGGGAGCAGAUGAAUGUAAGCCUAGCCCCAAAAGUAGCACUUGACCCUGUUGCUGACACACUUGUUGUGCAGCCCUGGACCAGCAGCUCCCACUUUAGCCCAUUUCUUUGUUGACAAAGUACGGAUGAUGCUAUGUGCUUGUCUCCUAGGAAUGCCUGUGAAUCAUUCACCAGUCACUAUUGGAAAAGUCCAUUUCAGGCAUAAGGGCAAGUCAAUGAAAUGAGCUUUGCAACCUGCCUCCACACAGCUAACUUGCUGCUAGCCUUUCAGGAGACCCACGUGUAAACACAGGACCGUGUAAUUAACCUGAUGUCAACACCAGCUGUACAAAGGCACAAGGCUAAGGGGAGUCAGGUGGCCCAGGAGAGAGACAAUCAGCAAGCUUUGGGAGAGAAAGAGCCCUUUUCUCUGGCUCUUUAUUCAGAUCCCUUUAAGGGAGGAAUGACCUACCAAAUGUGUGUAAACAGUUUCCAGGACUGGUAAGUUUCAUUCACACAGAGAGAACAGAAAGUCAACCUGGAAGGCAUUUAUUUUCUGAGAGGCUAUGGGCAGCCAGCGGCUGUGGGCAUUUAUCCAGGUUCUUCAGGUGGAAGCCUGAAUUGCCCCCAGCAAAUAGUUUGAUAUGGUGGUGUCUGUUGUGCUAAGUAGGGCAUGGAAGAUGCACUGCGUUUGGUCCUGGUGGCUGCUGACAGAGUUGGGGGAGAGGUGGAAUUUAAUGGUUAAAUCUCUAUCCCCCAUUUUUCCCAAUGUUUUUCUUCACAUGGGAAAAACCUAGAUAUUUUGAUGAGAUUAUUUAUAGAGAAUAAAGCAACUUGAAACCUGAAGGAGUGAAAGCAAGCCAUGUUAUAGCAACAAAAGUUGUGAAAGUGAAUUCAACAUGAGGUUAAAACAUAAAGAGUUUUGAAGAAUGUGAGGGCAAGACAUAACAUUGCUAAGGGAUUCUUGUUUCCACAGCUUAAAGGAAACUUUUUAAAUCAACUCGUUAUCCCUCCUCCCCUCAGAAAUAAUGAAAAGCUUACCCUAAGAAAGGUAGAGCAUCCUAGCAAAGGAAGAAAUGUCUUGGGUUUAAGUUGAUAUAAAUUAGGAGCCAGACCUCUUGCUUAUUUGUGACUAGUAGCCAACAGCCCACCUGCCCUCCCUUCCUUCAUUCCUUUUCUUCUUUUUCUUCCUGUUAUUACUCCCUUCUCUCCCCCUCUUCUAACCAGGAUUAACAGAUUUUUGUAGUUGAAGUAAAAAUGGACACCUUUUUGACCUCUCUGUCCUCUGAGGUGUUCAAAGUGCAUCACAUGCCUAGCGUGACUGAAAAGUUACAAGACAGAGUUCCAGGUCUGGCUCUGGGAGAUCAGUCCCAUCACUUUGCAGUCAUAGGGCAUUGUUUGGGGGAUUAUCAGCGUCCAGAGAGGGAGCUGGGCAGGCAGGCAAGUGACUCGGUAGGAAUGCGAGUAUGUGGCGAGCAGUGCUCUGAGUUAGUUUCACAGCAAGCUGCCCUCAUUGCCUUCACUGUGGGAACGGCAUCCCGUCAGAGCACCUGGAAGGCGCAGGUACACAUUAGAGGGACCAGGUGCUGCACAGCCUUCUCAGGACAAGGUGUCUGACUGCAAGGUUUCCUGGCAAAUUCCACACAGUAAGAACAAGACAACAGAACCAAUCACUGCUGCCAUGGACUUGAGCCCUUGUGCCUUCUUUCUGUCAAUCCCAGAUUUCCUGAGACUUCAGUGGGUGCCUCAGAACCUGCUGCAACAUGCCGUUCCCAACAACAGCCCCACCUAGAAGAGCCGUCUUUUGCCCUGGAUUCAUAGAAUAAGAACUACAUGAUGAUGAAUCCUGACUUCAAUUCUAACCAGUCAGCAGAGAUGAACUCUGAACUACAUUGGUGCUUUGGACUCGUCCUGAGGUGUAGAGUUUGAUGAAUUCACUGUGAAGAUUUAGAGGCCCAGAGCCAAGGACAUCAUUCCAACUCCUGUGUUCCCAACACAGAGCACAAAAGUGAGGGCCACGGGAGUGAGUCUUUACAAGACGCAUUAGUACAUCUUGGGUGGUGCCGAAAAGCAGGGAUUACACAUGCUGGAGACAGUUUGGCAGCGGAUGUGCCUUAACCCAGCUCUGCGGAUUCCACAUUCUUCUCCUG